rnacentral:rRNA from 1 species
UACGUAGGGUGCGAGCGUUAAUCGGAAUUACUGGGCGUAAAGUGUGCGCAGGCGGCAGAGCAAGUCGAGUGUGAAAGCCCCGGGCUUAACUUGGGAAUUGCGCUCGAAACUACUUUGCUGGAGUGUGGCAGAGGUAGGUGGAAUUCCACGUGUAGCGGUGAAAUGCGUAGAGAUGUGGAGGAACACCAAUGGCGAAGGCAGCCUUCUGGGCCAACACUGACGCUCAUGCACGAAAGCGUGGGGAGCAAACAGG